GACGAACGCUGGCGGCGUGCUUAACACCUGCAAGUCGAACGAAGUGGCGAACGGGUGAGUAACGCGUAAUCACCCUGCCCUUCAGAGGGGGACAACAGUUGGAAACGACUGCUAAUACCGCAUACAGAAGGAGGGGAUUGCGUCUGAAUAGCUCGUUGGGGGGGCAACGGCCCACCAAGGCGAUGAUCAGUAGCCGGUCUGAGAGGAUGAACGGCGACAUUGGGACGGAGACGCGGCCCAGACGCCUACGGGAGGCAGCAGUGGGGAAGCUUCCGCAAUGGACGAAAGUCUGACGGAGCAACGCCGCGUGAGUGAUUACGGCCUUCGGGUUGUAAAGCUCUGUUAAUCGGGACGCGGUACCGGAAUAGAAAGCCACGGCUAACUACGUGCCAGCCGCCGCGGUAAUUC
rnacentral:rRNA from 1 species